UACAUGGGGUCCGAGCGUUAUCCGGAUUUACUGGGCGUAAAGCGUGCGUAGGUGGUUGUACAAGUCGGUUGUGAAAUCCCCGGGCUCAACCUGGGAACUGCUUCCGAGACUGUGCGACUAGAGAUCGGUAGAGGGCGGUGGAAUUUCCGGUGUAGCGGUGAAAUGCGUAGAUAUCGGAAGGAACACCAAUGGCGAAGGCAGCCGCCUGGGCCUGAUCUGACACUGAGACACGAAAGCGUGGGGAUCAAACAGG
rnacentral:rRNA from 1 species